UGAAUACGAGACGCUAAGGCGUCGAAGUAGUGUAUGUCAUACUUCCAAGAAAAGCUUGCACUGUCUUAGAUAAAAAACGCCUGUACCAUAACCGACACAGGUGGGUAGGUAGAGUAUACUAAGGGGCGCGAGAUAACUCUCUCUAAGGAACUCGGCAAAAUAACUCCGUAACUUCGGGAGAAGGAGUGCCUUAUUUAUAAGGCUGCAAUAACAAGAUCCAAGCAACUGUUUAUCAAAAACACAGGUCUCCGCUAAGUCGUAAGACGAUGUAUGGGGGCUGACGCCUGCCCAGUGCCAGAAGGUUAAAGAAGUUGGUUAGCUUUUGCGAAGCUGAUAACUGAAGCCCUGGUGAACGGCGGCCGUAACAAUAACGGUCCUAAGGUAGCGAAAUUCCUUGUCGGGUAAGUUCCGACCCGCACGAAAGGCGUAAUGAUUUGGAUACUGUCUCGGAGAGGGGCUCGGUGAAAUAGACUUGUCUGUGAAGAUGCGGACUACCUGCACCAGGACAGAAAGACCCUAUGAAGCUUUACUGUAACUUGAAAUUGAAAUUGGACUUUAUUCGCGCAGCAUAGGUGGGAGGCGUUGAUUAUAAUCUCGUGGGAUUAUUGGAGCCAUCAGUGAGAUACCACUCUUGUAAUGUUAGAUUUCUAACUUUGAAUCAUUAUCUGGUCAAAGAACAGUUUCAGGCGGGCAGUUUGACUGGGGCGGUCGCCUCCUAAACGGUAACGGAGGCGUACAAAGGUUUCCUCUGAACGGUUAGAAAUCGUAUCUAGAGUGUAAAGGCAUAAGGAAGCUUGACUGUGAGACCUACAAGUCGAGCAGGGACGAAAGUCGGUCUUAGUGAUCUGACGGUACUGAGUGGAAAGGCCGUCACUCAACGGAUAAAAGUUACUCUAGGAUAACAGGCUGAUCUCCCCCAAGAGUUCACAUCGACGGGGAGGUUUGGCACCUUGAUGUCGGCUCAUCGCAUCCUGGGGCGGUAGUACGUCCCAAGGGUUGGGCUGUUCGCCCAUGAAAGCGGUACGCGAGCUGGGUUCAGAACGUCGUGAGACAGUUCGGUCCAUAUCCGGUGUAGGCGUUAGAAUAUUGAGAGGAGCCUUCUUUAGUACGAGAGGACCGAGAAGGACAUACCUCUGGUGUACCAGUUAUCGUGCCAACGGUAAACGCUGGGUAGCUAUGUAUGGAGUGGAUAACCGCUGAAAGCAUCUAAGUGGGAAGCCCACCUCAAGAUAAG
rnacentral:rRNA from 1 species